AGUGAACGCUGGCGGUAGGCCUAACACAUGCAAGUCGAACGGCAGCACAGUAAGUGCUUGCUCUUACGGGUUGCGAGUGGCGGACGGGUGAGGUAUACAUCGUACUCUACUUUUUCGUAGGGGAUAACGUAGCGAAACUUACGCUCAUAUCGCAUACGACCUUCGGUUGAAAGCAGGGGAUCUUCGUACCUUGCGCGAUUGAAUGAGCCGAUGUCGGAUUAGCUAGUUGGCGGGGUAAAGGCCCACCACGGCGACGAUCCGUAGCUGGUCUGAGAGGAUGAUCAGCCACACGGGAAGUGAGACAGGGACCAGACUCCUACGGGAGGCAGCAGUGGGGAAUAUUGGACAAUAGGCGCAAGCCUGAUCCAGCCAUACCGCGUGGGUGAAGAAGGCCUUCGGGUUGUAAAGCCCUUUUGUUGGGAAAGAAAAGCAGCAGGUUAAUACCCCGCUGUUCUGACGGUACCCAAAGAAGAAGCACCGGCUAACUUCGUG
rnacentral:rRNA from 1 species